UGGCCUUGUGAGGGACAUGGGGUGUGUCUGACACAUGGCAUGAAUUUCGUUAUUAGUUGUACAAAUAAACUAUGACAAAACUUUGAAACUUUCAUGCUUUUUCUUUUUGGCAUUGUUUGCCCAUCAAGCAUUUCCUAUGAGGUGCUGUUCACUGCUGACUGAACUGCUUUUGUAUUCUGAGCUAGGAGGCAGAAACAGCUUUGUUCCUCUUCCCUAAGCACCAACAUGGUUGUUCCAAGAGCCCCUGCAGAGGUGCUGGGACACUGGGCUGUAGUUCCCAUUCAAUUCUGAGGCUCAUUCAUUAAAGGGAGCUUUUAUUGACAGUUUUUUAAAGUCUGUUACAUAUAUAUUGUUGCAGGUUCCCAGCUUAGCCUUGAAAUAAUUUUGUGAAAGGAAAUAUUAUGUGAACUUCCAAACAAAAUGACAAAACUACUGGAAGAACUGUGCAGGUUAGGUCAGAACAUUGCUGUUGGUUGAAUAACCCAGCAAUGCUGCCAAUUGGAAGUCACUCUGUACUUCAGUUGUGGUACUACUGGAUUGCGUGCAUGCAAAUUCACUCCUUUUGUUAAAACUGAGACCUUGCAGAUUACAAAAAGCCAUUUCUUUUCAGUCAUAUGUAAAGCAAAUGAAAUCUAUUGCAGUAAUUGCUUGGGACGUGUUGCCAAACUUCAGCCCAGUUGCAAUUAAUGAAUGAGGCUGCUUCUUGAUGAAUAUUUUUCCUCUUGCAUUUUCAUUUAUUAGUUCAUUCUUACAAAUAGUUACAUCAUAUGAGUGAAUAUCAUAAGGGUGUGCAUUAUGUUGGCUUUAUUAAGCAUCAUCUGAUGAAAACAUGUUCCGUAGCAAGUGAAAGGAGCACCAAGUCAUCGAGAGUAGCAAAGGUGCUAAAAAAUUGUCCAACUCUUUCUCAUUGCAAGUCAUAAUUGCGUAAUUCCUCAUAGGAAGGAUCAUAUGGUUGUGUGCCAUAGAGGUGCCUUUGUGUGAGAUCUGCCAGGUUGGCAUGUUAGUGAGCUUCUUUUGGGGGAGGUGAAGCACGGUGCAGUUGAUUUAUGUGGAAAGUGAUAUUCCUUAGGGGGAGGAGGAGGAAACCAUUUCUGCUGGAUCAUGUUGGAAGAGGAGCUGUCUGCUGUAAAAUGCUAAUAAAGACGUGAUGCUGGGAUGCACAUAUUUUGAAGCUGAAUGCAAAUUACAGUAAUGGUCUUUUUAUUUUUAUUUUCCCAUUAGAAUGGGAUGGGUUAGUUCUGAUCUCUGUGUUUAUAGGUAGUAUCUAAACAAAUGAAAACCAACCAAACAAAACCAGGAUUUCUUUCCUUUGUUCUUUAUCUCGAGCAAGAUUAUCUCUGCUGAAGUUGGUGGAAUCGUGCCCAUUGGAUGCUGUAAAGACAAGCUCAGUGAGUUCUGUGGGCAGUGCUGCCUGAAUGAGCCGUGCAGGAGCAGCUGUGCUGUCGGAGUGCAAACAAGCAGAGACCUGCAAAGUGUUCUUCAAUGGGGAUUGUGAUUUACACCGAAGAUCCUUUUAGCACUGGGAAAUGGUGGCCUGAGGGGUGCUGCGAUUCCUCCUUUUCUUUUAACCAGGAGUACCCGCUUUUAGCUCAUUUCAGAAUCCUGAGCAUUAGAAAUUCUCCCAUUGUGGAUUGUUUACACAAAAUUAUUUCAGCAAUGUGCUUGUGAACAGUAUUUGUAUUCUCCUAAUGUUGUGUGUGCUUCUCCUUUGAAAGAUUUCAUGGUCUGCUGUUUUGUGUACAAAGAGAACUUGUUAAAGCAUGUUUUAUGCCUGAGCUCAAUGAAAGCAUUUCAAGUGUUGUUAUGCUCUGAGAGCUGCAGGUGGACAGACCCAUAUUCCUGUGCACCAGAAAAACCCCGAGUAGGGGGUGAAGCGUAUGACACGUUUUCUCUGAAGUACCGAUAUUCUCUGUGCAGUUAAUAGAGGCAGAUGAGGUCGCCUGAGCGUUUUCGUUCCAGCUGUAACCAAAGAACACGUUUUCACCAAAAUGUAGAUGUGUGAGACAUCUGAAAGGGCAAUGUGUUGUUUGUAAGCAAGAGCACUACAAGGCAAGUAGGAGGGGAAGUUCAGCUUUUCAGUUCACUUUUAAUUACUUGUAGAUCAAACAGUGCUGGGGCAGAGUCAGGAACGUGACCUCUGCAGAAAUAGUUACCGUGGCAGUUUUGAGCUGAUGCUGGUCUUUUGUGCACACUCCUGUCUGCUGCAUCACUGGGCCUUGGCUGCUCUGUGCCCUUACACUGACCCAAAGCUCAGGGGCUGGGAGGAAUCUUUACGACAACAUAGCAGAUAAAAUAAGUGGGUGAAAGCUCAGCACUUUCUUUAUGGAGUAAGAAUGGCUUUUUCACUCUCUUUUGACACAGUACAGUCAUAAGGAUGAAGGGAUGGAAGUGAGAACCGUAUUUUGGUGUGGGAAGGAAGCAAACCCCUUGCCUUAGCCUGACCUUCCCAUUGCAGCCAUGGCCACCUACACAGCAGUGAGGGCAGCUGACAGACCUGCACUGAACUCCGCUGCAAAACAGGAGACCAAAAAUAAAUGAUUUUCUCCUUCACUCUCGUUUGCACAUGGCAAGAGAGAAACAAGAAAACCUUUGUUCUUAAAGUUUCGGUGUAAAUCAUUAAAGAAUCUUUCAGUGCAGAGGAUUAGGUAUUACCUGAGGAACUCCAAACUCUGUCAUGCAUCUCUUUUUGUCUCUGCUGCUCUCUUGUCUCUUCUUGUUAACACUUCUGUUCUCCAAGGAGCAUGUACAUACAGCUGAUAAUACUGCAUGUUUGAUUUGGUGGCAAAAUAUAGGAGCGAGUUUUGCUUUUCUCUUUAAAGACAGUGCAGCUUGAUGGUGCUUUAGGCCAAUUACUAGCUAAAGCACUGUAUGGAGUUCUGAUGCUAUCAGGAACUCCCAUGAAGUGUUCAUCUUUGAAACUACAGGACAGACAGAAGGGCACAAAGUGUCAAUAAUGCCCUUUAAAAUACAGAGCUUUGUUAGUAUUCUUAUUAUUUAUUUUUUGGGAUGAACUUCAAGCUGCUGAGAGCAUGAAGUUCUUGUACCAGUGGAUGUGAACUCUGAAAGAUCAGCACGUCGGAAAUUGAGGCCCCUUUCAUUUGUGUAUCUAUUAAUGAACACACCAACACCUUGACAUUCUGUAACUCUGGUAUGUCAAAUGCAUCUUCCCGGGGUCCAGUCUGUUCAUCUUCCUCAUCUGUAUAAGUUUAGAAAUCAGAUUUAUACAAAUUCAGGAUCCACCCCUUCCCAGCCCCCAUUAAAGGGUUGGCAAUGGAGGUGAGGGCAUCUUUUUCUGGAGAUCCCUGUAUCCAUGAGCAUUCAGUUUGGUUUGUGUUAAAGUCUGUUGGAGAUCGUGUUCUUCUGAACAAAAGGCUGCCUAGUCAAGUAGUGGAAAGCCCAUAGCAUAUAAGGAUGAUUCAUUCGCAGCAUUCUUCUUCCUUGACUUGCAGACAAGUACAUUCCCUGGGCUGUACUCACAGGACUGAGUUGGUGUGCAUGCUGAAAUGCAGGCAGGCUUUCCAUCCUCGCUUUGUAACGCACAAGCAGCCAUUAAAUACUGUAUGGUUGGAGUUAGGUGAUGUGCACGUGGAUCAUCUGGUGGGUGAGCUGGAGGUAAUCUGGUCGUGGUCAUGUUUAUCUCCUUCUCAGUUCAUCUUCUAUUCCCAAUUUUGGUUAUAGUCCUUGGUCACACUCCAAAUGUGGAAGCCCAGCCAAGGCCAUGCAGCGGCCGGCCAGCUGGCAGCGAGCUGCUGCUCCCCACUACUGCCUGCUGCAGAGCAGAAGGAACGGCACAGCAGAAUAAAACAAUUGGUAAUUCAGCUCCCCUCUGAGUCCUAAACCCAGGCUUGAAUCUCAUCAUUGCAUCAGUUUCCAUGGAUCUUUGCACCCAGGCAGGAGCUGAAGGGAGUGCUGAGUUCAGAAAUCUCUCACAUACUUCAGAGGUUGCUACUUUAUUUGUAAACUAUUUGCUUCUCAUGUAAGCCUCUAGGUUUUUUUGUGUUGCUUUUUUUUUUUUUUUCACAGAUGAUUCAAUAUAAAGAUGUUUUCUUAUUAAGGAGACUCUUAUAUGUUUGGAAUAUAAAGUUUUUUCCAUUAACUUCGGUGAAUGUGAAAUAAAGGCCUCUGUUGUGGA